AUUAUACUCCCUCCGUCUAACAAAGGAUGUCUCAAAUUUGUCAAAAUUUGGAUGUAUCUAGACAUAACUUAGUGUAUAGAUGCAUUCAAAUUUAGUCAAAGUUGAGACAUCCUUUGUUGGAUGGAGGGAGUAUUAA
rnacentral:pre_miRNA from 1 species